rnacentral:rRNA from 1 species
UACAGAGGGUGCGAGCGUUGUCCGGAAUCAUUGGGCGUAAAGGGCGCGUAGGCGGCUCGCGAGGUCGGGGGUGAAAUCCCGCGGCUCAACCGCGGAAGGGCCUCCGAUACCGGCGGGCUGGAGGGGGGUAGGGGUGCGCGGAACUUCUGGUGGAGCGGUGAAAUGCGUUGAUAUCAGAAGGAACGCCGGCGGCGAAAGCGGCGCACUGGACCCUUACUGACGCUGAGGAGCGAAAGCGUGGGGAGCGAACAGG